GAUUAGAGUUUGAUCCUGGCUCAGAUUGAACGCUGGCGGCAUGCUUUACACAUGCAAGUCGAACGGUAACAGGGAGCUUGCUCCGCUGACGAGUGGCGAACGGGUGAGUAAUGCAUCGGAACGUACCCAGUCGUGGGGGAUAACGUAGCGAAAGUUACGCUAAUACCGCAUACGUCCUGAGGGAGAAAGCGGGGGACCGAAAGGCCUCGCGCGAUUGGAGCGGCCGAUGUCGGAUUAGCUAGUUGGUAGGGUAAAGGCCUACCAAGGCGACGAUCCGUAGCGGGUCUGAGAGGACGAUCAGCCACACUGGAACUGAGACACGGUCCAGACUCCUACGGGAGGCAGCAGUGGGGAAUAUUGGACAAUGGGCGCAAGCCUGAUCCAGCAAUGCCGCGUGUGUGAAGAAGGCCUGCGGGUUGUAAAGCACUUUAAGCAGGAAAGAAGGCUUCAGGGUUAAUACCCUUGGGGAUUGACGUUACCUCAGAAUAGCC
rnacentral:rRNA from 1 species